rnacentral:rRNA from 1 species
GAUGAACGCUGGCGACGUGCCUAAUACAUGCAAGUCGAGCGAACAGAUAAGGAGCUUGCUCCUUUGACGUUAGCGGCGGACGGGUGAGUAACACGUGGGUAACCUACCUAUAAGACUGGAAUAACUCCGGGAAACCGGGGCUAAUGCCGGAUAACAUUUAGAACCGCAUGGUUCUAAAGUGAAAGAUGGUUUUGCUAUCACUUAUAGAUGGACCCGCGCCGUAUUAGCUAGUUGGUAAGGUAACGGCUUACCAAGGCAACGAUACGUAGCCGACCUGAGAGGGUGAUCGGCCACACUGGAACUGAGACACGGUCCAGACUCCUACGGGAGGCAGCAGUAGGGAAUCUUCCGCAAUGGGCGAAAGCCUGACGGAGCAACGCCGCGUGAGUGAUGAAGGUCUUCGGAUCGUAAAACUCUGUUAUUAGGGAAGAACAAAUGUGUAAGUAACUGUGCACGUCUUGACGGUACCUAAUCAGAAAGCCACGGCUAACUACGUG